CUUAUACUGUUGAUAGAUUUGCCAAUUUUGCUAAUACAAAAUUGAAGCGAUUUAAUUCAAAAUUUUGGAAUCCCGGGAGUGAAGCUAUUGAUGCUUUUACACAAAAUUGGAAAAAUGAAAAUAAUUGGAUAGUCCCUCCAAUUGAUUUAGUUACUAAAAGUAUAAAUCAUUUAGUACUCUGUAAAGCCGAAGGUACCCUGAUAGUACCAAAAUGGCCGUCUUCAUCGUUUUGGACUUUAUUAUUUAGAAGAAACAUGGAAUUUCGUCAUUAUGUAUUGGAAGUAAUUGAAUUUUCCAGUGAACAACGCAUAUUUCUUCAAGGGAACAACAAGAAUUCGAUUUUUGGCUCUAAGAAUUUUAAUUCUGAUAUUUUAGCUGUUAGGCUAAGAACAAUGUAGAUAACUGUUUUUGUAUUACUGUGACAUAGACAUGACACAUGUUUACAAGGCUAUAGAAAUGAUAGCGAGGUCUUUUUUUAGAAAUCUGACAAGGCUAUAGUACGGAGCAAGGUCAGUAAUGAUUAUAUAUUAAACGCAUUUGUCAUGUAUUAUAUACUUUUUUAUUUACUAUCUGUUUGAAUUUUUACAUUUUUCAGAUAUUUUCAGCGUUGGUAGGUGGUCAUCAGAAAUUCUUUCACCACACCAGCCAUUACAAAAUUUAGCAAAGUGUCUUCCAGAAUUUUGUCUUCACUCUAGAGCUGAAAGCACUCGGAAGAAGUACAGAUUGGUGUAUAUUUGUAUGUAUUAAUGGUUGGCUGACUGUGAUCGAGCCUGUAUGACUGUUUUUAUACCUAAUUAAUAACGACUGAGAUUAAGCCGUAAUGUGCUUAAAAUGAACUUUGAAACGAACUGUUUGAUUUAUAUUAUACAUUGGUUAAUAAAAAGUAUGCUACCCUCACAAGGAGAGCUCAUUUCUGA